GUUAGGAAUAUUGGACAAUGGGCGCAAGCCUGAUCCAGCCAUGCCGCGUGAGUGAUGAAGGCCUUCGGGUUGUAAAGCUCUUUAGUCCACGAAUAUAAUGACUGUAGUGGAAGAAUAAGCCCCGGCUAACUUCGUGCCAGCAGCCGCGGUAAUACGAAGGGGGCGAGCGUUAUUCGGAAUCACUGGGCGUAAAGCGUGCGUAGGCUGUUUUGUAAGUCAGAAGUGAAAGCCCAGGGCUUAACCCUGGAAUUGCUUUUGAAACUACAAGACUCGAAUUCGGGAGAGGAUAGCGGAAUUGUCAGUGUAGCAGUGAAAUGCGUAGAUAUUGACAGGAACACCAGUGGCGCAAGCGGCUAUCUGGACGAGUAUUGACGCUGAGGCACGAAAGCGUGGGGAUCAAACAGGAUUAGAAACCCGUGUAGUCC
rnacentral:rRNA from 1 species